AUGGCAGCCUGUGUGGACAAGUGGAACCCAGCAUACUCCUGCCACCGCAUCUCCCGAUCCAUCUACCGCUUCAUGCCGGACUGCACCGUCACCGCACCGGCGGGCGCGCCCGUGAACGGGAACGGCGGCGAUGAAGUCUGGGAGGAGCUGUACGGCGAGGCGCAGGCCGACGCGCAGGACGAGCCGCUGCUGGGCAUGUUCUACUCCGAGCUCGUCCUGUCGCACCCGUCGCUGGAGGCCGCCCUCGCGGCGCACCUGUCCGCGAAGCUCUGCAUCCCGGGCGCGCUGCCGCAGGACGCGCUCCGGGACAUCCUCGCUGGCGCGCUGGCGGCACACCCGGAGGCGAGCCAGCACACGCGUGCCGACCUCCUCGCGGCGCGGGACCGCGAUCCGGCCUGCGCCAAGAUGGUCCACUGCUUCCUCUACUACAAGGGCUUCCUCGCCCUGCAGGCCCACCGCGCCGCGCACGCGCUCUGGUCCGAGGGCCGCCGCCCGCCGGCCCUGCUCCUCCAGAGCCGCGCCUCGGAGGUGUUCGGCGUCGACAUCCACCCCGGGGCGCGCAUUGGCGGGGGCAUCCUGCUCGACCACGCCACGGGCGUCGUCAUCGGCGAGACGGCGGUCAUAGGCGACGACGUGUCUAUCCUGCACGGCGUGACGCUGGGCGGCACGGGGAAGGCAUGCGGCGACCGGCACCCCAAGGUCGGCGACGGGGUUCUCAUCGGCGCCGGGGCCAGCGUUCUGGGAAAUGUGCGCAUUGGCGAUGGAGCCAAGAUCGGCGCGGGCGCGGUCGUGCUUAGAGAUGUGGCGUGUGGAACCACGGCCGUCGGAAACCCGGCGAAGCCGAUCGGGAAGAAGGCGGCGCCGUCGCUCCGGCCAGAGGAGCAACCAGGGGUGACCAUGGAGCAGAGGUGGUCGGACUACGUCAUAUGA
rnacentral:rRNA from 1 species